GACUAUAUGAAGCUGGAAUCGCUAGUAAUCGUAGAUCAGCAUGCUACGGUGAAUACGUUCCCGGGUCUUGUACACACCGCCCGUCACACCACGAGAGUUUGUAACACCCGAAGCCGGUGGAGUAACCAUUUGGAGCUAGCCGUCGAAGGUGGGACAAAUGAUUGGGGUGAAGUCGUAACAAGGUAGCCGUAUCGGAAGGUGCGGCUGGAUCACCUCCUUUCUAAGGA
rnacentral:rRNA from 1 species